AGUGAACGCUGGCGGUAGGCCUAACACAUGCAAGUCGAACGGCAGCACAGUAAGAGCUUGCUCUUACGGGUGGCGAGUGGCGGACGGGUGAGGAAUACAUCGGAAUCUACUUUUUCGUGGGGGAUAACGUAGGGAAACUUACGCUAAUACCGCAUACGACCUACGGGUGAAAGCAGGGGAUCUUCGGACCUUGCGCGAUUGAAUGAGCCGAUGUCGGAUUAGCUAGUUGGCGGGGUAAAGGCCCACCAAGGCGACGAUCCGUAGCUGGUCUGAGAGGAUGGUAAGCCACACUGGAACUGAGACACGGUCCAGACUCCUAAGGGAGGCAGCAGUGGGGAAUAUUGGACAAUGGGGGCAAGCCUGAUCCAGCCAUACCGCGUGGGUGAAGAAGGCCUUCGGGUUGUAAAGCCCUUUUGUUGGGAAAGAAAAGCAGCAGGUUAAUACCCCGCUGUUCUGACGGUACCCAAAGAAUAAGCACCGGCUAACUUCGUG
rnacentral:rRNA from 1 species